UAUUGAUUAAUCGUGUCCAUUAGAUUACCCCAUCUCUCUCCUUCCGUUCAUCACAAACCCUACCAUAGACUGCUUUCUCUGUGUAAAACAUCAGUGGUUCCAUUGAGAGAGAAAAAGGAAUCGAUAUAUGAGAGAGACGGAGACGGAGACGCAGAGUUUAGAGAGAGAAGAAACAAUCGCGAAGUGAAAGCGAGCGAGCGGGGUGGAGCUAACACCGCUUCCGAUGGUGUUCCCGGCGGCGCAAGACGGCUCUCCCUGUCUUCAGUUUUCAAUAACCCCAAAAUCCCGAUUCAUCCAGAUCAAGAUGGCUGUGUUAGGGUUUCAGAGACCAAUCGUGUAUGUUCUUGACAACAAAAAAUGCAGCAGCAGCAACAACUGUUCUUUUUUGGCAAGAAAGACGCAUUUAAUCAACAAUUAUAUUAGUAGUAUUAUUUUUUAGUUGUAUUAGAUUUUAAGGUUGCAACUUCUGCAGUUUUUAAGCUAAUGCGCCGCCAUCUUCAGUAGAUGUAACCAGAGAGAAGAACGGGUUUGAAGCCCCACACUGUGCCGGUUGGAGGAUUUAGGCCAACAUAAAUUGGAGAAUCAAGAGUCAACAACUGUAUCAGGCAUCCAUGGCAGAAGAGAGAAUUUGGAAAUGGUCGGGUCAAAAGGGGGUUCUAGAGGAGCAAUAAAUGGCCCAUGGCAUUAUAGCCUAGUGCCAUCUUGGGGGUGAGAUAAGGCUUUGGGAUCAUUAGGUCCUGGGUUCGAUUCUCACAAAGGGGUUUUUUUCCCAGAUUUAUUGGGUUUCCUCCUGAAUUGGUGUAUACGCAUUAUAGCCUAGUGGAGAUGGAUAUGAUCGGGUGGUCCUGCUGGUGGCACGAUGAUACUCUAGUGGUCCGUCAGUGAUCCUAAUUUGCCGUUCAAAAAAAAAAGAGGAGCAAUAAAUGGUUUAUUGUACCUAAUUGAGUUAUUAUGUUUGCCUAGAUCUAAUAUUUAUUGUUUGAUCCAUGAAGUUCUUCUUGCAUUAGUUUUUUAUAAUUGCUUGCUUUGAAUUUUAUUAUAGAACAACGUCGGCGCAAAAAAUAAGCCAAUGAAAAGAUGUUGAAACUGAUAACACGAAGAAAGUUGACAUACGGCAAAUCACAGUCGUUCUAAAACUUGACUUGCGUUGCACCGGAUGUGCCAAAAGGAUAAGAAAUCUGUACAAUUUACUAAAGGUAGUAAACAUGGAUCAACGAUUACAGAGGAUUUCGGGAGGUAUAAACGAUUAACUAAUAGAUUUUAUUAGUUUAUAUUAUUUGUAGACGAAUAUUAAAGAACUGGCCAUCUAUUAUAAUGGCUACAGUUGUUUCAUUCCUGGUCUUUUGCAUGUUCUUUUGAUUAUCACAUGGGUUAAAACUAUAUGGAAAAAGAGGUUUUGUGCUACUUCAAAUAUUGUAGUUGUAGUGAUGUUAUAAGUUUUAAGGCCUGGAAGGCGUAUGAGCGACACUUGGUGAGCAAAUAUAACUAUGUUAACAUAGUCACUUUUUAUUUUUUUAUAUUCAACUAAUAUCCUUCAGAUUUGCGCAUUGAGACUUUAAGUAGUCUGGAAGAUGCUUCCUUACAGGUUAUUAGUAAAGCUAACCUUCCUAUUAUCAACCGCUAACCUUCCUAUUAUCAACCGCGCCCAUUUGGUUAAAGCCUAUCUUAACCCGUUAGAACAGUUGAUCCCUCCUAUUAUCAUGGAAACAAGACCCACAAAAUGAAACGAUGUUGAUUUCUUGUAGGUUUCUAAAGUAUGUGAACACUAUGGCAGCCAGCCUGCACCAUUAUAUAUGUUUAAUAUUGCUACUUACAGGUAAUUCUAUAGUGUCUGUUAAUUCCUUCCAUUUGGUCUCAAAUGGAAGCAUCACAACACUCGAACCUCAUAACGGUAUCGUAACCUCAAACAGGAUCACCGGAAGUGUUUGGUGGCAACCACUUCCCACUCCAACUGCUACCAAAAGGCACACCAUACCCCAAAUUCUGCCUAUUGUUGUUGCUAUUCCAACUCAUGUAGUCAGUCAUGUUCUUAAAGAAUUAGCAUAGGACAUACCUCUGAGGCAUAGAUCAAGACAAUAAUGAAGCUUGCUGAGAUAAACAUUCACUAGAAAGCCUGUGGCCAUAACUUCAUUUUGAUGGUGAACCCAAAGAAAAACCAGCACUAAAACACUUCAGGCGUCUAAAUAGGUGUGUUCGAAAGUAGUAGUGCACUGUGCUUCCCUUUAUACCUUGUCCGUGUGGACAAAAAAAAAUGAAAAAGCUUAUAUAUUGUUAAGACUGUAAACAAACAUGCAACUAAUUGCACAUAUACUAGCAUUAUUUAUGUUUGUAGAA